rnacentral:rRNA from 1 species
CCUACGUGUGGCAGCAGUGAGGAAUAUUGGUCAAUGGGCGCGAGCCUGAACCAGCCAAGUAGCGUGAAGGAUGACUGCCCUACGGGUUGUAAACUUCUUUUAUAAAGGAAUAAAGUGAGGCACGUGUGCCUUUUUGUAUGUACUUUAUGAAUAAGGAUCGGCUAACUCCGUGCCAGCAGCCGCGGUAAUACGGAGGUUCCGAGCGUUAUCCGGUUUUAUUGGGUUUAAAGGGAGCGUAGAUGGGUUGUUAAGUCAGUUGUGAAAGUUUGCGGCUAAACCGUAAAAUUGCAAUUGAUACUGGCAGUCUUGAGUACAGUUGAGGUAGGCGGAAUGCGUGGUGUAGCGGUGAAAUGCUUAGAUAUCACGAAGAACUCCGAGUGCGAAGGCAGCUUACUAAACUGCCACUGACAUUGAUGCUCGAAAGUGUGGGUAUCAAACAGGAUUAGAUACCCGAGUAGUC